UCGCGAGGGUGUUUGUCUUCCUGAAUUUUGGGCCCUUGGUCCGGCUGCCGGAUGGUGUUUCCCCGCCUCCGGUGCUUUGCUCUCCUGGUGGCUUUCGCCUGCUCCCCACCUUGAGCUGAGGGGCGUCGAGAGGCGGUGGGCGAGGCCAGGAGUUUGACGAGCCGCAGGCAAGGAGCUUCCCGUCCCGAAUCCCGGACCAGCCGUGCCCAAGACAGAGGUGGGAAAAUAGGCAUUCAAGCUGAGAUGGUAAUGAUGCUGAAACUGUCAACUUCUCCAAAACUUACUUGCAGUCUUCUGUUUUGACCAAGUUUUCACACUGUCUUAUGAAAUCAGAAAAGGACUGUUGCCCGGAUGCUAUGUGCUUCAGCUGGCCACAGCAGUGCUUUCAAGGUGGCCAGCUAACUUUUGUGAGUAGGUGUGAGUAGAAUUUUUUCGUUCAUCGUUAAAAUGAGUGACUGUUAUUUAGAGCAAAGAACUCAUGUUAAACUUUGUGUAAAGUUACUGAGACACUUGAAAUGUUAAAAGUAGCAUAUGGUGAAGAAGUAAUGUCAAGAGCAAGAGUUUUUGACUAGCACAAAAGGUUUAAAGGCAGAGGUGAUGUCCACUGUGAUGCAAGAGGCCCUCCGGUCACCCACAGAACACGUGAAAAUGUCCAGAGGGUCAGAAAUUUGGUUUGCUCAAACAGCCAAUUAACUGUAAGAAAAAUAACUGAAAAGCUAAAUUUAGACAAAGAAUCAGAUUAAUUCUGAAAGAAAACUUGCACUGGAGGAGUUUCGGGCAAGAUUCUCUCUCCUGCCAUUGUGGUUGAUGAUCAUGUAGAGGCCAAACUAAAAUAGAGCUGCACAGGAACCUGCCACGGGGGUGUGUAUUCAGGGCACAGUGCUAGUUUCAUUGUUCUUGAAGAAACUUCAGGCUGAAUCUAAAAUGAGCUGAGCUUCAAACAUUUUUCAUUGGCUUUGUAGGUACCUGAUUUAAGCAGAGUGAACCUGUAGAGUUGAGUGUGACAGAGUAGAGAGGAUGGAGCUAGUUCAUUAGGAGGAACUGGGAAGCUAAUGGGAAACUAUUAGCUCAGAAGGAGGAACUAAACAUGGGAGCACUUCUCAUUUCAUCAAAAUGAACUUAUUUGAAUAAUCAGUAAGUUACCUGCAGGUUGGGAGUUAAACCUUAAACAGGGAGCUAGAGAUCACUGUUACUCUGUAUGGAAAUAUCUCAAAAAAUACAGUGGCCACUUUCAGGCAAAAAAGACUUGUAAUAAUGAAACUCUUGUGGGAGAUUGAACUCAGAUAUUGGAAAAAGGUAUUCAAAUCUGUCAGCCGGAAAAAGGCUGCAAGGAGUGGUGGGCAGUGACACCUCCCCCCCAAUCAGGACCUGAUUUUGGUCAAAAGCUCAUAAAACCUUCUAUUCUUUAUGUAAUCUAAAUUCCAAUUUUAAACAUUUAUUUUUAGAUAUACUGUUCAGGUCUGCAAUUUGGUAUGAAAGGUAGACAAAUAGAGCUCAAUUUUGAGCCUAACUUAUUUCAUCAGAAUAAGUUUCCAUAGGUUGAAAGGAGUUUCAAAAGGCAUUACUCUGAGUAGCAACAAGGACUGAGUUUGACCUUCACAUUUUCCAUGCUGAACUUAAAUUUGAGUGUGGUGGUCAGAUCCUGAGCUCCAGCUCUAAUGCUAUUAAGUAUUCAAAGGGAAGGCAUCACUUUGAAUAUUCGAGAGGCCACAAAUAGCUUCAAGUCCGUUAUGGUCAAUUGGCAGUUUUGCUGAAACAUGGUCUCUGCCCCAGCUUCCUUACCAGUCUCUAGUAUGAUGCUGCAUCAUUCAGUAUCAGUGUUGCUGCAACCGAGAUACAGCACAAGUCCUGUACCUGGAGAACGUUAAGUCAGAGCCCUCUGGCAGUGACCCUGAGAAGACUAGUUAACUAUGCUAUUCCUUUUUUUAAGCAUCCCAGAAAUUCAAGUUUACAUUUCAUAAGAAACAUGAGCCAAAACUAAAUGAGGUCGUUUAUGGAAAAACUGUCUAAUUUUGACAGCCUUUGUUACCUCUGGGACACUGCUGAUCAAAGCUGCAGGGCCUACAAGGCAAAAACUACAAUUAGAGUAAUUUUUUCCUAUUGUCUUAGCUUCUGUUACUGAUUUUUUUUUUUACAACUUGAACUUUGGAUGCUGUUUUUAACUGUGUAAUGAAAUUUAUUAAAGUACACAUAAAUAAUUCACAUUCCAAUAAACCAUACAGAUUUUUA